UCUGCUGACAAUCUGUACGUGGGUACAUCCACCGGAAGUAAACAAUAAAGCGCUAGCGCGUUAGCUUCCAGGUUUCUUUGUGCUAAUCAUCGCUUACAGGACGGAUUUUGUUCUGUGAGCUGAAUAUUUUACUGUCUAUAGUGACAAAUAUCUUCUAUUCUUCUAUAUAGAGAGCGACUAUCUACCGCUGUUAAAGAAAUAUUCAACAACCUCGUCCUUUAGGAGGAAGAGAUCGAUCGUCAUCAGACUGCAAAUCAUCUCGGAACCAUCUGGCUUUCCACAGAACCAUGUCGGUUCCUACUUGGCAGGUUCUGGCUGAUCGUCUACUUGCAACAGAGAAGAGAAACUAUUGUUGAGAAAAGAUCCCAAACACGGUAGAAAUGAAAGAGGAACCAGAACCUGUACAGGUUAAAGUUGAACAUGAAGAAUUAGAAGUUGUACAGGUUAAAGUGGAACAUGAAGAAUUAGAAGUUGUACAGGUUAAAGUGGAACAUGAAGAAUUAGAAGUUGUACAGGUUAAAGUUGAACAUGAAGAAUUAGAAGUUGUACAGGUUAAAGUGGAACAUGACGAAUUGGAAGUUGUACAGGUUAAAGUGGAACAUGAAAAUCUCUGCAAUGAUCAGGAUGAACAUCAGAUUGUAGUGAAACAGGAACCUGAAACAUUUGCGGUGACUCCCACUAAUGAGCAAAGAGGCAACAGUGAACCAGAAUCAAGCAGAGAUAAAGAUGAAGAGACAUCAGGACAUCAGGACAACAGAAAUCACACAGAAAAUGUAGAAUUGGAAGAUAAUGCACAACUAAAAAGGUGUAGAAACACCUUGUUGCCUUGCGACGUAUGUGGUAAAUUGUUAUCUUCAUGUCAACAGCUGACUGUGCAUAUGAGAGCUCAUCCAGGAGAGAAGCCUUUCUCAUGUCUGACAUGUGGAAAAGGCUUUAACUGGAAAUCUUCCUUAUCUAUGCACUUGAGAACUCACACGCGUGAGAAGCGGUAUGAUUGUAAAUUGUGUGACAAAUCUUUCAUACGAAGUAGUGAUCUGACUUGUCACAUGAGAACUCACACAGGUGAGAAGCCUUAUUCUUGUCAGUGGUGUGAUAAAUCUUUCAGACAGA